AGAAUCAACGCUGGCGGCGUGCCUAACACAUGCAAGUCGAACGAGAAAGUGGAGCAAUCCAUGAGUAAAGUGGCGCACGGGUGAGUAACACGUGACUAACCUACCCUUGAGUGGGGAAUAACUGAGGGAAACCUUAGCUAAUACCGCAUAAUACCUACGGGUCAAAGGAGCAAUUCGCUUAAGGAGGGGGUCGCGGCCGAUUAGUUAGUUGGCGGGGGUAAUGGCCCACCAAGACUAUGAUCGGUA
rnacentral:rRNA from 1 species